rnacentral:lncRNA from 1 species
GGAGCUGGUUGUAGAAGAGCCAAAAACAAUGAGAAUAAAGGAGCAGAGUGUUACUGGGAGUUGGGAUACUGGAAAUAAUUAUGUGUGAGUGUGUGUGUGUGUGUGUGUGUGUGUGUGUGUGUGUGCAGGCAUACAUUUUCAUGUUCAUAUAAUUCUAUCUCUUUGUGGAACUUAGAUUUAAACAAACUAAGAUGUGAACAGGGAGGAGAAGGUAGGAAAAAAGUACAAAUACCCUGGCAAUAAUAUGUGCUUAUCUUUACAUUUAGUCUUUUCUUGUUUCUACUUCCAUGUGUAUGCAAGGAUGUGAAAAAUCAGAAAAUGUAAAGACACAAAAUUAUUUUACCAAGAAUGUAUAAUUCUGUCUACAUACAAGAAUGUUGAAAUUACAGAAUCAUGAAAUUUCAGUGUUGCAAGUAUCAGUCAAAUGCAAUUCUAUAUACUUCAGUUCUGUUUAAAACCGAGAUGAUUUGCGUCAAACAUAAUGACCUGUUUCCUUGACUUUAUAUACUUCAUUUAUUUGUCUUUAUUAUUGCAGAUUCCAAAAGAAUGAAUUAAAGAGGAUGAAGUUCUCCACUCUGGACACGUGGGAUGACUCCUUCUAUAGAAGCAUGUGGAGAACCACUGAGCUUGCUGACAUGAAAGAGCUUGAACACCUCAAAGGACCCAGCCUAUAAAUAAUGGGUCUCAGGAAUACCACUGGUUACACCAAGAUCUUGAGAGAAGAGACAGUUUCUUCCAAAGUGAGCAUGAAACCAGGACAAGGAAAAUUGAACACAUGGCCAUUAGCUACUAGUAUGAUAUCUACAUAUGUGUGUAUUAUUUGUUCUUAAACUACCAACUGAUUAUUUAAUUAAUAGAUGGUGUCAUGCCUUCAUAUUUCUAUCACACCAAUCACUGCAUACGUAUAGCACAUAAGGAAUUCUUUUGUCUCAGGAACUAAGCUGUGUAACAUGCGGGUAUAAAUGUGUGGUUGACCACUGUAUUUUAACGCACCGAGAGGGGAGAAGUUAGAUGGAAUCAUAAUGUUUUCAUUCUCACAUUCUGCCUGAUACUUUUAUGCCUCAGUAUUAAGAUGAUAGGCGCGACAGAAAGGGCAAAUAAAUACAACGGAGGAAGUCUAUUGAGUUAUUUUAGAGCUGUUGAAAUAUUGUCUUGUUUACAAUUUUCAACUCCACAAAUCCUCAUCAAUUAUUAAACAUUUUUCUCAUUGAAUUAAGCAGGGUGACUAUUUUCUCAGGAAAAACACCAGGUAAAACAUAAGGCUUGCUCUUAACCUAUCGAUUUGUUCUUCUGUGAAUGAAAUUCGACAGCUUUAUUACACUGUCCACCCCAACCCCACACGAACGGAAAGUAAACAUUCUAUUUAUUACGUCAAAUGAAAAAGAAUUGAAAUUCCAUC